rnacentral:misc_RNA from 1 species
ACUCUACUCCCCCAAAAAAGUAUGUUUGACGCCUUACCCUUUUUUUAGUUAUUCAAGAAUUCAUUAUCUUUUUUCAUUCAUCCUACGCUUUUACAAACUAUAAUUUCUUUUCUUAUUAUAGACAAGUCUUGUGGGAUAUAUCAUACACGUACAAAUGAGAAAAAAAUAUCGAUUUGAAUGAUUUAGAAUCGAUAUAAUUUUUCAUUUUAAAACUUAGAAAGUCUUAUUUUCGAAGAUCCAAGAAAUUCCCGGUAUAAAACUUUUUUAAUUUACUAAUUUUGAGUUUAUUUUAGUUGACAUAGGCCUAAGUCAUCUAGUAAAAUAAGGAUGAUACUUCGGCAACG